rnacentral:rRNA from 1 species
AGAGUUUGAUCCUGGCUCAGGAUGAACGCUAGCGGCAGGCUUAACACAUGCAAGUCGAGGGGUAUAGUUCUUCGGAACUAGAGACCGGCGCACGGGUGCGUAACGCGUAUGCAAUCUACCUUUUGCAGAGGGAUAGCCCAGAGAAAUUUGGAUUAAUACCUCAUAGUAUGUGAGAAUGGCAUCAUUUUCGCAUUAAAGUCACAACGGCAAAAGAUGAGCAUGCGUCCCAUUAGCUAGUUGGUAAGGUAACGGCUUACCAAGGCAACGAUGGGUAGGGGUCCUGAGAGGGAGAUCCCCCACACUGGUACUGAGACACGGACCAGACUCCUACGGGAGGCAGCAGUGAGGAAUAUUGGACAAUGGGCGCAAGCCUGAUCCAGCCAUGCCGCGUGCAGGAUGACGGUCCUAUGGAUUGUAAACUGCUUUUGUACAGGAAGAAACACUGGUUCGUGAACCAGCUUGACGGUACUGUAAGAAUAAGGAUCGGCUAACUCCGUGCCAGCAGCCGCGGUAAUACGGAGGAUCUAAGCGUUAUCCGGAAUCAUUGGGUUUAAAGGGUCCGUAGGCGGUUUAGUAAGUCAGUGGUGAAAGCCCAUCGCUCAACGGUGGAACGGCCAUUGAUACUGCUAGACUUGAAUUAUUAGGAAGUAACUAGAAUAUGUAGUGUAGCGGUGAAAUGCGUAGA